GACGAACGCUGCGGCGUGCUUAACACAUGCAAGUCGAACGGAAAGGCCCCCACUUUUUUGGUGGGGGUGCUCGAGUGGCGAACGGGUGAGUAACACGUGGGUGAUCUGCCCUGUACUUCGGGAUAAGCUUGGGAAACUGGGUCUAAUACCGGAUAGGACCAUGGUUUAGUGUCUCAUGGUGGAAAAAUUAUUGUUUUGGUGCAGGAUGAGCUCGCGGCCUAUCAGCUUGUUGGUGGGGUAAUGGCCUACCAAGGCGUCGACGGGUAGCCGGCCUGAGAGGGUGGACGGCCACAUUGGGACUGAGAUACGGCCCAGACUCCUACGGGAGGCAGCAGUGGGGAAUAUUGCACAAUGGGCGCAAGCCUGAUGCAGCGACGCCGCGUGGGGGAUGACGGCCUUCGGGUGGGAAACUCCUUUCGUUAGGGACGAAGCCGCACCUUUUUUGGGUGUGGUGACGGUACCUUUGUUAAGAAGCACCGGCUAACUACGUG
rnacentral:rRNA from 1 species